AUUGAACGCUGGCGGCAUGCCUUACACAUGCAAGUCGAACGGCAGCGGGGGAGAAGCUUGCUUUUCCUGCCGGCGAGUGGCGAACGGGUGAGUAAUACAUCGGAACGUGCCCUGUAGUGGGGGAUAACUAGUCGAAAGAUUAGCUAAUACCGCUUACGACCUGAGGGUGAAAGUGGGGGACCGCAAGGCCUCAUGCUAUAGGAGCGGCCGAUGUCUGAUUAGCUAGUUGGUGGGGUAAAGGCCUACCAAGGCGACGAUCAGUAGCUGGUCUGAGAGGACGAUCAGCCACACUGGGACUGAGACACGGCCCAGACUCCUACGGGAGGCAGCAGUGGGGAAUUUUGGACAAUGGGCGAAAGCCUGAUCCAGCAAUGCCGCGUGUGUGAAGAAGGCCUUCGGGUUGUAAAGCACUUUUGUCCGGAAAGAAAUGGCUCUGGUUAAUACCUGGGGUCGAUGACGGUACCGGAAGAAUAAGGACCGGCUAACUACGUGCCAGCAGCCGCAGUAA
rnacentral:rRNA from 1 species